GCGAGAGUAGUUCAGUGGCUAGAAUGUUUCCUUGCCAAGGAAAAGGUCGCGAGUUCGAAUCUCGUCUCUCGCU
rnacentral:tRNA from 2 species